GCUUUCGAAUCAUUUCUGUACGCUUGUGGAUGGAAAACCAUAUACAAAUAUACACUAUAUUUAUUGUGCUUAGCAGGCUAUUAGUCUAAUGGUCUUUUCAGUACUCUCAGUCAAAGUUUAAAGCGGGGUGGGGAAGGGUAGGAUUGCACCACAAUCUGGAAUAGACUUCACAGAUAUACAGAUCACCAAGAGAGAUAUAGACUAAACUGAAGACAUUAGCAAGAUAAAAAUCUUUUUGACCACUCCCAGCCACGCAUUUAGUGUUGCAAACGCUUUCCCUCCCUGUUUGUACUGCAUCAAGGCUCAGAGAGCCAUUGCAUAUAAAUAGAUGACCUUGCAGCUGAACUGGUAUGGUUAUGCUGGGAGAAAAAUCAAAAGGCUGAUCACCAUUCCUGGGUCAAAUCAUCUGUCACAUUUGGCAUCAAGACUAUCCAGAAAACAUGAAGCCUGAACACUUGCUUUGCCAGUUGCUGGGCUGCUUUCUGCUACCCACAGCUGCCUGUAAACCCUUGAAAGCAGACUGCACUCGUGUCAAAUGUAGCCCCUGCCCUGACCAACACACAGCGGUGACUGCGGAGAAGAACUGCUGUGCUAUAUGUGCCCCUCCAUGUUCCUGUCCAGAUUACCAGCAAUUGGAAUGCGCCAUGCAAGGCUACGAGGAUGGAAACGUCCCUGUGGGGAAAUCUUUCCACAUAGACUUUGCCACCCGACUCUGCACCUGUGUUUCUACAGGGAAUAUCUCUUGCACUUCAGUUUGUCCUUCGGUUUCACCUACAUGCAAGGAGACCGGAAGCCCUCCUGAUGGCUGUCCCCAGUGUGUAUGUCCCAUUGACAAUGACAGAAUCGUAAUUGCUGGCAGCACCAUCCCCAGGGACAGUGAGAUGUGUGUAUGUCCCCCUGAGGGAGGCAAACUACUCUGCACCCCAACCACCCCUCAGCCCACUACAGUCUAACAAUGAAGAGGCUCUGUUCUCCAACAGCUUCUAGUAUGGAAGCCUUGAGAGGUGCCUCUUCCACACCCCAGAAUGCCUGACCCUGCUGAGGAGGAGAAAGAAGAGGUGAACCUGUUCAGAAAGAGUCUGCAAGACCAUGCUGCAGCAGCCCAUGAACAAUGGCUAAGUGGUUCAACAUGACAGCAUGGAGGAGGAAUUCAAAGACCCUGGACAAGGUGCUGGAAGUGCACCAGGAAUGAAGGCGUCUCCACAGGCAGCC